rnacentral:rRNA from 1 species
CCUACGGGUGGCAGCAGUGAGGAAUAUUGGUCAAUGGACGAAAUCCUGAACCAGCCAUGCCGCGUGCAGGACGACGGCUCUACGAGUUGUAAACUUCUUUUGUACGGGGGUAAAAUGCUCUACGAGUGGGGUUUUGUAAGUACCGUACGAAUAAGGAUCGGCUAACUCCGUGCCAGCAGCCGCGGUAAUACGGAGGAUCCGAGCGUUAUCCGGAUUUAUUGGGUUUAAAGGGUGCGUAGGUGGUUUUUUAAGUCAGCGGUGAAAUACCGAGGCUCAACCGCAGAGGUGCCGUUGAAACUGGAAGACUAGAGUACAGAAGAAGUAGGCGGAAUGUGUAGUGUAGCGGUGAAAUGCAUAGAUAUUACGCAGAACACCGAUUGCGAAGGCAGCUCGCUGGGCUGGAUCUGACACUGAGGCACGAAAGCGUGGGGAUCGAACAGGAUUAGAUACCCCAGUAGUC